UUCCGUAGGGUGAACCUGCGGAGGGAUCAUUACCGAGUUUACAACUCCCAAACCCCUGUGAACAUACCACUUGUUGCCUCGGCGGAUCAGCCCGCUCCCGGUAAAACGGGACGGCCCGCCAGAGGACCCCUAAACUCUGUUUCUAUAUGUAACUUCUGAGUAAAACCAUAAAUAAAUCAAAACUUUCAACAACGGAUCUCUUGGUUCUGGCAUCGAUGAAGAACGCAGCAAAAUGCGAUAAGUAAUGUGAAUUGCAGAAUUCAGUGAAUCAUCGAAUCUUUGAACGCACAUUGCGCCCGCCAGUAUUCUGGCGGGCAUGCCUGUUCGAGCGUCAUUUCAACCCUCAAGCACAGCUUGGUGUUGGGACUCGCGUUAAUUCGCGUUCCUCAAAUUGAUUGGCGGUCACGUCGAGCUUCCAUAGCGUAGUAGUAAAACCCUCGUUACUGGUAAUCGUCGCGGCCACGCCGUUAAACCCCAACUUCUGAAUGUGACCUCGGAUCAGGUA
rnacentral:rRNA from 1 species